rnacentral:tRNA from 1 species
GAGGGUAUAGCUCAGUGGUAGAGUGCAUGCUUAGCAUGCACAAGGUCCUGGGUUCAAUCCCCAGUACCUGUA